UAGGGAAUCUUCCACAAUGGACGCAAGUCUGAUGGAGCAACGCCGCGUGAGUGAAGAAGGUUUUCGGACCGUAAAGCUCUGUUGUUGGUGAAGAAGGAUAGAGGUAGUAACUGGCCUUUAUUUGACGGUAAUCAACCAGAAAGUCACGGCUAACUACGUGCCAGCAGCCGCGGUAAUACGUAGGUGGCAAGCGUUGUCCGGAUUUAUUGGGCGUAAAGCGAGCGCAGGCGGAAGAAUAAGUCUGAUGUGAAAGCCCUCGGCUUAACCGAGGAAUUGCAUCGGAAACUGUUUUUCUUGAGUGCAGAAGAGGAGAGUAGAACUCCAUGUGUAGCGGUGGAAUGCGUAGAUAUAUGGAAGAAUACCAGUGGCGAAGGCGGCUCUCUGGUCUGCAACUGACGCUGAGGCUCGAAAGCAUGGGUAGCGAACAGGAUUAGAUACCCUGGUAGUCCAUGCCGUAAACGAUGAGUACUAAGUGUUGGGAGGCUUCCGCCUCUCAGUGCUGCAGCUAACGCAUUAAGCACUCCGCCUGGGGGAGUACGACCGCAAGGUUGAAAC
rnacentral:rRNA from 1 species